rnacentral:misc_RNA from 1 species
ACAUCCUCAAGCCCCUCUCCAGUAUGGGCUUGGAUUUGGGAGGGUUUUUGCAGGCUUUGCCGUCUGCUCUCCUGAAAAGCAUUAGUGGUGUCUGAAACGGAAACCGUCAGAGGACGUGAUAAAUGUCUGUGUCCUUGGUAUGCCGUGAUUGAAAGCCGCUUCCUAACCUUUUGGAAUUUGAAAA